rnacentral:lncRNA from 1 species
GCGAUAUCCCCUGGGUGGGCCCGGGCUGUGAAGCAGGGCGGUAGUUGGCGGGCGAUGCUAUUUAUUUCACUCGGAUUCCGACUUGGGUGGUCUGGGGAGCAAGGGAUUUGUGUGUUUGCAACCGGGUGUGGCGGCGAGGGAGGGGCCCGGCCACCCAGGUGGGCCAGCGGGAUGCCUGGGAGGCCGGUGGGUUUGGCUGACCACUUCUUCCCAUUCCUCAGUGAGAGACUUGGGCCCUCCCGGUCAUCCGAGUCUGUCCCGAAGGUUUAACUGCGCGCGGCGAGGGGAGGCCUUGUAGGUUUCCAAAGGGCGGAGCUCCAGUGGGAAAACUUGAAACUUGUCGUCUGCGGAUAUUUAUUUCCACUUCUUGUAUGGCCUGAAGAAUCUAGGAGGAGAAAAAGCCAGAUACCAAACUUACGGCCAGGCAGACGGGUCGCGGGUGUUGACAGGGUCCUGAGGGAGUUUGAAGCCUUAUUCUCGAGCCGCCUCCUCUUCUCUACCCACACUUGCACCGAGGUCACCCCGGCACCCUCCGCACCGGUUCGGUUUUGGUCUCUGCUUGUCCUCUCAGUCCUUGGUACUUUCGUCUCCCUCAGCCGGAGGUGGCAAACUCAGACAUCUACGGGCGCCCGAGGCCCUCGCAGCCCUGAGCCCCAGCUUUCACUUCCCUGGGCUGCCCCUCUCCGGGAGCAGGCAGACGCCCCGUUCUCGGAGCCCAGCGCUCACUUAGAGCGACUGAGGUUGGUCGAAGGAUCUUUCCCCACAUCCCAUAAUCAGGGCCCUAGGACACUCGCAGGUCCCUUUAACUCUGCUUCUGUCAUUACACUAGAACAAGUAGUGUUUCUGUUUAGAGUCCCAUUUCACAAAUUGGUUAGUGGAGGCACCCGUGGCCUGGCAGCUUGCACAGUGGCUGUCCACCUCGGGGGGGUGUGGACCUGAGCCGUGGCUCAGUGACAAACCAGGCACCCAACUAUGCAAGGCCCCUGCCUGGUGGGCAUCCUACCCUCUGGACUGGGCCCAUGGAAGCCACUGGGCGGGCAGCUGGGGUGUAGUUCAUGUGAAGCCCCAUUCCCCUCACGCUUUUGGGGCCACUGUGAAUGGGGCCAGGAAACGGAUUUUUGGUGCAGCUGCAUUCCCUAAUAGACCUAGUUCCCUCCACGUUAGUGUAGACAUGGCCUUGGGGGCUGAGCGCAGCAGCCAGGCUGCCAGGGCUGGGGGCGGGUAGGAGGCACGGUAGUUGGUGGGUGGGAAGAGGGCCUGGGUGGUGGCGGUCAGUUAGCCUGGCUGGGUGAGGUUGGUGAGGUUGCGGGGCGGGGUGGUGAGGAGAGCAGGGGUCCCAGGGAGGCAUUGGGGUGCUGGGUAAUGACCUCGGCCCUGGGUUUCUCCUCUCCCUGCGGGACAGGAGCCUCAGAAAGGGCCAAGGGCAAGGUGGGCUUGGGGGGCUCUGGGAAUCUCAGCUCUAGCCCUGUAUGGCCAGGAUCUGCUGUCUCCGUCCCUCCUGGGCCCCAGCAGCUGUCCUGCAGCUGUCAGCAGGAGGGCCUGGCUUUAAUAAAGAGUGGACAAACUGAA